rnacentral:rRNA from 1 species
UGGGGAAUAUUGCACAAUGGGCGCAAGCCUGAUGCAGCCAUGCCGCGUGUAUGAAGAAGGCCUUCGGGUUGUAAAGUACUUUCAGCGGGGAGGAAGGGAGUAAAGUUAAUACCUUUGCUCAUUGACGUUACCCGCAGAAGAAGCACCGGCUAACUCCGUGCCAGCAGCCGCGGUAAUACGGAGGGUGCAAGCGUUAAUCGGAAUUACUGGGCGUAAAGCGCACGCAGGCGGUUUGUUAAGUCAGAUGUGAAAUCCCCGGGCUCAACCUGGGAACUGCAUCUGAUACUGGCAAGCUUGAGUCUCGUAGAGGGGGGUAGAAUUCCAGGUGUAGCGGUCAAAUGCGUAGAGAUCUGGAGGAAUACCGGUGGCGAAGGCGGCCCCCUGGACGAAGACUGACGCUCAGGUGCGAAAGCGUGGGGAGCAAACAGG